UGAGGAAUAUUGGUCAAUGGCCGAGAGGCUGAACCAGCCAAGUCGCGUGAAGGAAGAAGGAUCUAUGGUUUGUAAACUUCUUUUAUAGGGGAAUAAAGUGGAGGACGUGUCCUUUUUUGUAUGUACCCUAUGAAUAAGCAUCGGCUAACUCCGUGCCAGCAGCCGCGGUAAUACGGAGGAUGCGAGCGUUAUCCGGAUUUAUUGGGUUUAAAGGGUGCGUAGGUGGUGAUUUAAGUCAGCGGUGAAAGUUUGUGGCUCAACCAUAAAAUUGCCGUUGAAACUGGGUUACUUGAGUGUGUUUGAGGUAGGCGGAAUGCGUGGUGUAGCGGUGAAAUGCAUAGAUAUCACGCAGAACUCCGAUUGCGAAGGCAGCUUACUAAACCAUAACUGACACUGAAGCACGAAAGCGUGGGGAUCAAACAGGAUUAGAUACCCUGGUAGUCCACGCAGUAAACGAUGAUUACUAGGAGUUUGCGAUACAAUGUAAGCUCUACAGCGAAAGCGUUAAAUAAUCCACCUGGGGAGUACGCCGGCAACGGUGAAACUCAAAGGAAUUGACGGGGGCCCGCACAAGCGGAGGAACAUGUGGUUUAAUUCGAUGAUACGCGAGGAACCUUACCCGGGUUUGAACGUAGUCUGACCGGAGUGGAAACACUCCUUCUAGCAAUAGCAGAUUACGAGGUGCUGCAUGGUUGUCGUCAGCUCGUGCCGUGAGGUGUCGGCUUAAGUGCCAUAACGAGCGCAACCCUUAUCACUAGUUACUAACAGGUGAAGCUGAGGACUCUGGUGAGACUGCCAGCGUAAGCUGUGAGGAAGGUGGGGAUGACGUCAAAUCAGCACGGCCCUUACAUCCGGGGCGACACACGUGUUACAAUGGCAUGGACAAAGGGCAGCUACCUGGCGACAGGAUGCUAAUCUCCAAACCAUGUCUCAGUUCGGAUCGGAGUCUGCAACUCGACUCCGUGAAGCUGGAUUCGCUAGUAAUCGCGCAUCAGCCAUGGCGCGGUGAAUACGUUCCC
rnacentral:rRNA from 1 species